GAAAAAAAGGAAGUUAAGACUACAAUAUUCUGUAAUGUUAAUUUCAUGCUGUAGAGCUCUUAGGUAAUUUUACAGAGUGUGGUAAAGCAAUGAAGGUUGGAUAGGUUCAUCAUGUAUGACCACUCCUGGAGAAUAAGAGGAAAAACUGAAUUUAGAUUCUCAGAAACUUGUGCUGUCAAGUAAAAGGAAAAUGAAAACAGUAAAAUAACUCAAUGAAACUGAUGGAUGCUGGGGGCAGAUCCCUUUCCACAGAAAUCCUCUCACUACUAACGGUCCAUACAAAGGUUCUCAUGAAACCCGAGACCGUACAACACAGCCGGCGUGCUGUGUACUCAGUGAUAACCUGUCAGUGAUAUGACUAGAUGACGUCUAGUCUCAAGUACUCAGGUGCUACGAUCCAGGGCUACCGAUAAAUGACAGGUGCCCAGGGAACCGGAAUUCAGGGUUUAUUGAAAGUUCAAAUAACUUGAGGUUUUAUUUCCUCACUUUCAAAAAUGUCAGUUUAUGUUCUCGGAAUUCUUCCACUAUGCUUUGCUAUGAAUUUCUAGCUUGGUUUCUUCCUGGAUUAUGACCUUUUAGUGAACUGUAAUGUAACUCCAAGUGCUGUGGGUUAGUCCACCUGACGCAGAAUGUGAUUUGCUCUCUUGAUAUGAGCAAACAUUUUCCUUGGGGCAGAGCCUUAGAGACUGAUAUGUGAUGGAAGAUAAAACAAGAAACAAAUAAGGAGUUUAUGACUUUCCUCAACAUCGAAAUGCAUGUAUUCUGUUGUAUUUACUUAUAAAGGUUCUAGAAGUCUAAAGCAACAUACCCAGGAUAUUAAAUAAACUUCUCUACUAGAGACCUUAUAAUAUUGCAUAAGUGUUAUCAUCCUGUAUUCCUACUUUGGCAAAAGCUAUGACCUUCUUAAGACAAGGACAAAACAUUAAGCUUUUUACACAGGACCUGGGAUGUGUUGGGAGAACAGUAAAAUAUUUAUUGAGUGAAAAAAUGAUAAAAAAUACGAAACAAAUGAACACAAUGACAUGUGAUAGGUACAAUGUAUAGCAGACUUGACAUGAUGCCAUGAGAGAGAGAGUUACAUAAAGUCCCUUGAAUCCCAGCCUGGUUUGUCAUCCUGUCUAUUUAAAAAAGUUACACAUGAUAUUAUUUCAUACAAUAACUAGAUCAAGUACCAGCUGUUUACAUAUACAUGUUUAGUAACAACCCAUUUUACAUUUAUUAGCAAGAAAUAGUACAUUACUUUAAUUAAUUUAAAGCAAACAGGAUUCCCCUUACUAAUAUGACAGGAAGUCAGAUGGAAAACAUAACACCCCCAUCUAAUGAAAUUCAGUUCAAUAACAUGUGUCUACCAAUAGAAAUACAGGCAACAAUAAUUUUUAAAAAGCUUCCCUAGUUCUCAGUCCUAGUAAGUAUUGGUGUUGUAUCAUUGCUGUCCAGUUCUCUGUUCUCAUACAUCUUGUUCCCUGUAAUAAGAAGUCUGACCCCAUUGUGUGAUGUUUGUUGACUGCUCCUGUAUUUCACCCAUCGCUCUCCACCUCUGCCCCCAAUCUGGGCAAACUGGUAAACUGGUGAGACACUCAAGCCACACAAGCCUCUACUAAGCAAAACUCUCAGCUUGGCCCCAACUGUAAAAUCCACAAAAUCCCCAAGCCUGUCAACUUGCUCUGCUCGCUCCCCCAAAUCCUCAAUUAUGUUUGUAAUAAAUGUUUCAUAACUUCUUAGGGUGUGUGGGCAUGUGUGUGAGUGUGUCAUUAGUCUCACCAUUCAAACCAAAUUUUGGGUGGAUGUUCACCUGAAUCUAUACAGUGGCUAAUCUAGGUUUUGGGUAUUUGGUUUUCCUCCUCUGCUCCUUUCCUUAAGCUAGAAUAAUGUGUCCCCAGGUUACACUCAGAAGCUAGCCAAAAGGAACUGCAGCUUUAAUACAGCAAGAAUGUAGAGAAUAUGAAAGUAAUAUUAUUAUUAGUGGACAUUAAAAACAUCCACCUGCCCAAUUCUCAAUUGGCUCUGACAUCAGCAGUCUUUCUAGAAUGUGCUCAAACAGCGUUAUUAGCAAAGGGUGCUGAGAGGAGCAGGAAAUUACUCUUUUUAUGCCCUGAUUUGAUUGGCCUCUCACAGUGCACUAAUAUAAGAGUAUGUGGCACCACUUUCAAAACUAAUGUUAAGGAAAUUAAGGUGGACAGGGGAAAAGCAGAUUUUCAACACUUAAAUAGCACAUUCCCAGGAGAAAAAAAUGCCAACUAUGGCUUAUUCAUAACACAAUAGCUAUUUAAAAUACAAUUUGGAAUUUAUUAUGUGUCAAGCACAGUGCUAAGCAUUUUACACACAUUACUGCAUUUAUCAUUAUAAAAGUCCUAUAGGUUAAAUGUUAUUAUUACUGAGAUUUACCCACAUCCAAAGUCUAUAAUCUUAUGUGCUCAUUUUAUGGCUUCAAGUCUACAUUUUUUAAAAAAAUUAGCCUUUAUUGUAUUUUUUUCCGUUACCAUUCAGUCCUCAUAUACCUGUCUCCCCCAGUAAUCUACAUGGUUAAUGCUAUGGAUUUUCUUGCUUCCUGAUAAUUUUUGAAGUAUCACAAGCCUUUAUGGAGCUAAUCAACUGGCAAGCUUGACAAAGAAGAACCUUUUUAUAAUGUAAUAUAGGGAGACAUUAUUCGUCAUAGUUGACUGAUGAAAUAAAUAUAAACACUGCAUGGUAUGCUUUAUUCAUUUCAGCUACAUUUCCCUAAAGAAAUUUAUUCCAUGAUCUGGGAUGCAGAAAGACAAAUAAAUGCCUUUAUAUGUUUUUUAGUUGUUAGUUACUGAAUUACAUCAAAGGAAAUAUUCUGAGAGCUGUGAGGAAGUAGAAAGAGGUAUAAGUCAUGUUGCUGACUUCAACAUGUUUACAGUUACCUGAGAAGAGGACUCCACAGUUUGUGUAGUUUUUAAUCAUUUGAAGUGUUAAUUUAUUACAUUAAUACAAAUGGUUUUUAUAUGACAAGUAAAUUUUUUAGUGUUAGUGUUUAAGUGUUACUUUUAUAUUUCUAUUGUCCUGAGUUAGUAUCUAAAUUUAUGGAUACCUUUGUCUUUGGAAAAAAAGAAAAUAUUUCUGCUUAAAAUAGCUUAUUGUUUAAGAAUUCAUUUUAAAAACUAUUGUAAUUAUAUAUAACCAGUAGGUAUAUAAUUUAGAUGAAAGACAGCAGGGGGAGCUCAAAGACUGGUUGGACAAAUUAAAGAUUGACUUCAUGAGUACUGGAAAAUUAAGAGAGUUUUGAAGAGAAGAAAAAGAAAAUUAGAGUAGAGAUGCUUAGUGAAAUUAUUAGUUGGUCUUUCAUGAAGCCUGAAGUAAUUCCCAGCAAAAUGGUGAACUAGCUACGCAGAAGAACACUUUCCAGUAGAGAACAUUUUAAAAGGCUGGAUAAAAAUGGCUAAGAAAAGAUUUUUAGACAUGAACACAGUCAGUAGACAUCAAAACAUGCAAAUUAAAAUUAUACCACCAGACUGCUACUUACCCAUCAGGA